rnacentral:rRNA from 1 species
UACGUAGGGUGCAAGCGUUAAUCGGAAUCAUUGGGCGUAAAGGGCGCGUAGGUGGCGGGACAAGCGUGCGGUGAAAGCUCGGGGCUCAACCCCGCGUCGGCCGUGCGAACUGUUUUGCUUGAGCACUGUAGAGGCAGGCGGAAUUCCGGGUGUAGCGGUGGAAUGCGUAGAGAUCCGGAAGAACACCGGUGGCGAAGGCGGCCUGCUGGGCAGUAGCUGACGCUGAUGCGCGACAGCGUGGGGAGCAAACAGG